rnacentral:rRNA from 1 species
GACGAACGCUGGCGGCGUGCCUAAUACAUGCAAGUCGAACAGUGGCGAACGAGUGAGUAACACGGGAGUAACCUGCCCUCCACUUUGGGAUAACUACGAGAAAUCGGGGCUAAUACUGGAGAGUGGGGGAUGGGCUCGCGGCCUAUCGGUGUGUUGGUGAGGUAGUGGUCACCAAGGCGUGAGGGGUAGCCGGCCUGGGCGGGGGACCGGCCACACGGGGCCUAGGACACGGCCCAGACUCCUACGGGAGGCAGCAGUGGGGAAUAUUGCCCAAGGGGCGAAAGCCUGAUGCAGCGGCGCCGGGUGGGGGAGGACUGCCUUCGGGUUGUAAACCUCUUUCAGCAAGGAAGCGGUACUUGCAGAAGAAGCGCCGGCUAACUACGUGCCAGCAGCCGCGGUAAUAC